GUGCCUAUGGCGAAAAUGGUAUACGCAGCGGGUUUAAGCCCCGCUUCCAUAUGGAAUAAGGGUUCUAAUCCCUUUAGGCACA
rnacentral:tRNA from 1 species